UACGUAGGGGGCAAGCGUUUGUCCGGAAUUAUUGGGCGUAAAGAGCGCGCAGGCGGUCGUUCAAGUCGCGUGUGAAAGCCCCCGGCUCAACUGGGGAGGGUCACUCGAUACUGAUCGAUUGAAGGCAGGAGAGGGAAGCGGAAUUCCCGGUGUAGUGGUGAAAUGCGUAGAUAUCGGGAGGAACACCAGUGGCGAAGGCGGCUUCCUGGCCUGUCUUGACU
rnacentral:rRNA from 1 species